rnacentral:rRNA from 1 species
GUCCACGCCGUAAACGAUGGGUACUAGGCGUCGGGGGAGCGACACCCUCGGUGCCGUCGCUAACGCAGUAAGUACCCCGCCUGGGGAGUACGGUCGCAAGACUGAAACUCAAAGGAAUUGACGGGGGCCCGCACAAGCGGUGGAGCAUGUGGUUUAAUUCGAAGCAACGCGAAGAACCUUACCUGGGCUUGACAUGCUGGUGAAAGCCGGUGGAAACAUCGGCCCCUCUUCGGAGCACCAGCAAAGGUGCUGCAUGGCUGUCGU